UACGUAGGGCGCAAGCGUUAUCCGGAAUUAUUGGGCGUAAAGAGCUCGUAGGCGGUUUGUCGCGUCUGCCGUGAAAGUCCGGGGCUCAACUCCGGAUCUGCGGUGGGUACGGGCAGACUAGAGUGAUGUAGGGGAGACUGGAAUUCCUGGUGUAGCGGUGAAAUGCGCAGAUAUCAGGAGGAACACCGGUGGCGAAGGCGGCUCUCUGGACCUGUCCUGACGCUCAGGCGCGAAAGCUAGGGGAGCGAACAGG
rnacentral:rRNA from 1 species